rnacentral:lncRNA from 1 species
CCCGGGCCUGGCCCCGCGAGUCCCGGCCCAGGCCGAUCCCGGCCGGCCGGCCGGCCGGGUGACUCAGGCCACCCGGGCCUGCCGGCUCCGCUCCGCUCCGCCCUCGGCGUCCUCCGCCCACGACUUCCCCGGCCCGGCCGCCAUUCCGCCUGGCCGCGGCGCGGCGCGGCGCCUGAGGCCUCGCCGGCAGCCGGGGCUCGGCCUCCGCGGCCCGAGUCACUGCGACGCCGCGGCUCCGCCGGGGCCUGCGCUACCUCCCGGCCCCUGCCACCACCACCACCGCGCCGCCCGCCGCCGCGGGCCCGAGCCGCUACUCACCCGCAUCUCCGGGCGCCCCCCGACGCUCGGGCGACGGCGUGCAGUGCUCGCGGGGGCCCGCCGAGGUCUGGCCGCGUCCCUCAGCGCCCCGGCUGCCCCGCCUGGAGCUGCGUGCGACACGGCGCCCGCUCCUCCUCCUCCUCCUCCUCCUCUGCCCGCCUGCCGGCCCUCCUCCUCCUCCUCCUCCUCCUCCUCCUCCUCCCGCCGCCGCCUGCACCACGCAACCUCCGCCCUCUCGCCGCCGUCCGUCGGUCCGUCCGUCCGUCCCUCCGCCGCUCCCCGCCCUCCCGGCUUCACCGGCUCUGGCGGCCACGGGGCGAAGCGGUGGGGGAGGGACGGACGGAGGGACUGAGGGAGGGAGGUCGGAACGCACCGCCAUCGGCGUCCGGGGCGGGGGAGCCGGGAAACCGUCACCGCCUUGGCCGGGCCGGCGGCGGCGGCGGCGGCAGCACCGGAGGGAGGGACGGGCCCCCAAACCGCCCGCCUGCCCGCCCGCCCGCGGGCCCCGCUCGGCGGCGCGGGCCUUUCUACCUGCGAGCCAUGGCCCCUGCUUCCUUCCCCAAGGCCGAGCCAGGCGCCGACGGACGGACGGACGGACGGACGGACGGACGCGCGGCCGGAUCCUCCGCCAGGUUUUCCCGCCGCCCUCGCGUCGCGUUGCGUCGGCCCCUCCAGUCUCGGCUUCCCGCCACUGGGGACUCCUCGUGGGGGGUGAGCUGA